rnacentral:snoRNA from 1 species
UCUUUAACAUAUUUUUCACUUCCGGAAUACCAGCUACGUUAAUGGUACUUUGAUUUAACAGUAGCAAAAAUGGCCGGAAGGAGAUCGACUGGUCCAUGGAAUAAUCCCGUUAGUCACCUGUUGAUUAACUGGUUCGCUAUGUGGACACAC